UACGUAGGGGGCAAGCGUUGUCCGGAUUUAUUGGGCGUAAAGAGCGUGUAGGCGGCUAGGUAGGUGGGUUGUGAAAACUGGAGGCUCAACCUUCAGACGUCGACUCAAACCCCCUGGCUAGAGUCCGGAAGAGGAGAGUGGAAUUCCUGGUGUAGCGGUGAAAUGCGCAGAUAUCAGGAAGAACACCCGUGGCGAAGGCGGCAUCCUGGACCAACACUGACGCUGAGGAGCGAAAGCCAGGGGAGCAAACGGG
rnacentral:rRNA from 1 species